GCUGAGUAUGGUGGCACAUGACUUAAUCCCAGCUCUCUGGGAUGCUGAGCCAGGAGGAUCUCUUGAGCCCAGGAGUUUGAAGCCAGCCUGGGCAAUACAGUGAGACCCUGUCUCAA
rnacentral:sRNA from 1 species